rnacentral:ncRNA from 1 species
UAGUAAGUAGUCACGAUAGGUGCUGAUAAGCUUUGGGUACAAAGUUUAGAAGUAAAAGGGGAAGCCGGUUAGAGUCCGGCACGGUCCCGCCACUGUAAUUCAAUCAUGCGAAUGGUUGGAGAGUCAGGUUACCUUGCCUAUUGUUUCGUUUUACG